GAUGAACGCUGGCGGCGUGCCUAAUACAUGCAAGUCGAGCGAACGGACGAGAAGCUUGCUUCUCUGAUGUUAGCGGCGGACGGGUGAGUAACACGUGGAUAACCUACCUAUAAGACUGGGAUAACUUCGGGAAACCGGAGCUAAUACCGGAUAAUAUUUUGAACCGCAUGGUUCAAAAGUGAAAGACGGUCUUGCUGUCACUUAUAGAUGGAUCCGCGCUGCAUUAGCUAGUUGGUAAGGUAACGGCUUACCAAGGCAACGAUGCAUAGCCGACCUGAGAGGGUGAUCGGCCACACUGGAACUGAGACACGGUCCAGACUCCUACGGGAGGCAGCAGUAGGGAAUCUUCCGCAAUGGGCGAAAGCCUGACGGAGCAACGCCGCGUGAGUGAUGAAGGUCUUCGGAUCGUAAAACUCUGUUAUUAGGGAAGAACAUAUGUGUAAGUAACUGUGCACAUCUUGACGGUACCUAAUCAGAAAGCCACGGCUAACUACGUGCCAGCAGCCGCGGUAAUACGUAGGUGGCAAGCGUUAUCCGGAAUUAUUGGGCGUAAAGCGCGCGUAGGCGGUUUUUUAAGUCUGAUGUGAAAGCCCACGGCUCAACCGUGGAGGGUCAUUGGAAACUGGAAAACUUGAGUGCAGAAGAGGAAAGUGGAAUUCCAUGUGUAGCGGUGAAAUGCGAAGAGAUAUGGAGGAACACCAGUGGCGAAGGCGACUUUCUGGUCUGUAACUGACGCUGAUGUGCGAAAGCGUGGGGAUCAAACAGGAUUAGAUACCCUGGUAGUCCACGCCGUAAACGAUGAGUGCUAAGUGUUAGGGGGUUUCCGCCCCUUAGUGCUGCAGCUAACGCAUUAAGCACUCCGCCUGGGGAGUACGACCGCAAGGUUGAAACUCAAAGGAAUUGACGGGGACCCGCACAAGCGGUGGAGCAUGUGGUUUAAUUCGAAGCAACGCGAAGAACCUUACCAAAUCUUGACAUCCUUUGACAACUCUAGAGAUAGAGCCUUCCCCUUCGGGGGGGCAAAGUGACAGGUGGUGCAUGGUUGUCGUCAGCUCGUGUCGUGAGAUGUUGGGUUAAGUCCCGCAACGAGCGCAACCCUUAAGCUUAGUUGCCAUCAUUAAGUUGGGCACUCUAAGUUGACUGCCGGUGACAAACCGGAGGAAGGUGGGGAUGACGUCAAAUCAUCAUGCCCCUUAUGAUUUGGGCUACACACGUGCUACAAUGGACAAUACAAAGGGCAGCGAAACCGCGAGGUCAAGCAAAUCCCAUAAAGUUGUUCUCAGUUCGGAUUGUAGUCUGCAACUCGACUACAUGAAGCUGGAAUCGCUAGUAAUCGUAGAUCAGCAUGCUACGGUGAAUACGUUCCCGGGUCU
rnacentral:rRNA from 1 species